AACAACGGGUUUUUGUUGUUGUUGUUGUUGUUUUUGUUUUGUUUUGUUUUGUUUUUUUGCAUCAGUGGAGAUUGGUACUAAGUGGUUGCAUAGCUGUGACUAGGGCUAUGACACUACUAAAUCAAAUGCCAGCUUAUUACAAGACAUAAGGAAUCCAUUAAAGUGGCUCAAGCAUGAAUUUCAGCAUAGAAUUGUGGCUCUGCAGAUGGUGAAGAAUCCUAAGAAUGCAUCAGCAGGUAGCUAUAGCACAGAUGAGAGAAUGGGAGUGGACAGUCUAUGAACAGGAGCAAGAUUGAAGAGUCGCUAACUGCAGCAUUGAUAGGACAUGAGGAAGGCCAUAGGUUUUAAAUCAGAAGAUAACAGGCGAAAGCUAAUGACACUAGAAGUGAGAUUAACUGAGAUUAAUUUCUCCAACUUCCGUUUUGAGCAGAAUUAGAAUGCCUGAAGAAAUAGUAAAGAUGAAAAAAAGUGAAGUUGAGAUACGUUACUGGCAAGGACUGAUGGCUUAAGAAGAGAUGUCACUGAUUCUCACAAGCAAACAAAGGACAAAUGCUGACAGCUACCUUCACUUCAAUUGUUAACAAGCAAUUUCCAUCAGCUUUAGUGUGAAAUGGAUCAGCCAAUAUGAACGCAUAUUGUGAAUGACUCACCCUGUAUCAACUGUCUAUACAUGAGUAAAGCCACAUGUCCCCACACUGCUGAUAGUCUUUAUUAUGGGCUUUCUUUAAGGUAAGUGCUUCAAGAACAUAGGGGAAGAAGAAUAGGAAGAGUAAUACUGUGACUUUUCUGUCAGUGUAUUUCAGCAUCUCCUUUUGCCAAACAUCGGAGAAAGGGCCAAGAGAACCGGGUUUACUUAUCAUGGACACGAAAAGAUGGAUGGCAACUGUGCAGAAGAUAAAGCCAGGCUUUUCUCAGAGGUGCACUAAGAGAGAAUGACGCAACAGAUGCAACUGGAAAUUCUGCUGGAAAUACCUGGAUUAGCACUGGAAAAUGUUGUCUGUAGAACCUCCAGUGUAGGGGAUUUUCAAAACUCAGCUGAACAAGGUUGUGAACAACCUGAUCUACAGUUGAAGUUCACCCUGCUUUGAGCAGGAGGUUGAACUUGGUCUUGGUGGCUUUCAGAGGUCCCAGAGGGAUAUUUAUAAAUAAACAGCAGCAGAAUGACUAACACAUUAGAAAGAAGAGCUUUUGUUACAGACAACAUCGCUGCAAAUAAUAUUAUCUUCACACACUGAUAUAGUGCAAGUUACUUUAAACAAGUAUGACACUGUCAGACAUACAAGCCCAUUAAAACAUUCUGGAACUCUUGCUAGUACUGUUUGCUAAUAAUCUUGUACACUGGACUUAUUUCAACUCAUUAGAAGCUUUAUAAGCUUAUUUUUAUAAUAUUUAUAACUAUACUUCAUGGAAAAAAAAAUGGACUACACUUCUGGAAGAAAAAGAUAAUCUGAGAAUUAAUUAAAAAAUAAAUCUUUUUAACUAUUAAAAAAAAAAAAAAAAGAAGUUUAACAAAAGCUAAAGAAUGUCUUAAAGAUAGACCUUGAUCAAUCCUUCACUUCAGCUGUGUUAGGUCUCUUGACAAUAAUUUGCUUUAGUUCUGAUGAGAGGUCCAUCUAAAAGUGUGUGGGCAAGCUGAGUAGUUUAGAGACACUUCAGAUAUGUUCAGAAAUGUUCAUAACCAAAGCACAGGCUUUCAGGAUACUGUUCUGCCCUGGUAUCUCUGUUUAUUCAUUACAAGUGUGAGUAUGUUACCAAUGAAAUAUAACUAGUUCUGUGCAACACCUUAAACCACUUUUUUCAUCUUUGCUCAAAUUGUGUCCUCCUGAAAUUUUGAUACAGCGACUUUCUUCUCAUGUGGUAAAAGUUGUAUCAUAUAAUAUUAUCAAUUACAUUCCCAAAUUGUAACAAAAUGAAUUCUCGAUGUAUUACACAUCCAAUAAAAAG
rnacentral:lncRNA from 1 species